UUGCUGUCCAGCUGGCUCCAGCUGGUUCCAUUAAUAAAGAAUAGAAAAACUGGCAGCCAAAUUAUAUUUGAAUUUCAAAAUCUGCUCACUUUGGAGCCAAUUGGUUAAACAACUCAGCCUAUAAAUAUGAGAUUAUUUCACAAUGCAUUUUCACAACGCAGAGUUUCUCUCUCUAUAUUUGUUAUGAAGGCUUGAAUCUGGAGCAUGGGAACCUCUCGAAUUCUGCAAAAGCAACAAAUAAAUGCAGAUCAAUGGAGCACGGAAGAUCUGCAAAAGCCUCAAUCAUCUUUCAAUGGAGCAUGGAAGAUCUACAAAAGACAAAAAAAUUGUUUUAGAGUAUAUUCAAGAUUUACAGCAUGUAUAAAGAAGAAGAAAUGGUAUAUUCAAGAUUUACAACAAGUAGGCAUCAAGAAGAAGAAUUACAUAUCACCCCUUAAAGGGUUUCCUCAUGUUAAUUUUUCAGUGAAAAAAUAAAGCAAUACAUUAUAAUCACAUGCAAAUACAUAUAUACAUUUCGAUAUUUCGAUAGGUUUCAAAUCCAAGAAUUUAUUGUAUAUUAUCUUUCAUUUUCAUUAGUUUUUCAUUUAUAUAUUAUUGAAAUAGUUUCAUUAUAUAUAUUUAUUUUCCUUUUAGCAUGCGUUCCUAUCUGUGCCAUAACUUUUCAUU